UACAGAGGGUGCAAGCGUUAAUCGGAGUUACUGGGCGUAAAGGGCGCGUAGGCGGUAAGAUGUGUGUGAUGUGAAAGCCCCGGGCUUAACCUGGGAAGUGCAUCGCAAACUAUCUGACUGGAGUAUAUGAGAGGGUGGCGGAAUUUCCGGUGUAGCGGUGAAAUGCGUAGAGAUCGGAAGGAACGUCGAUGGCGAAGGCAGCCACCUGGCAUAAUACUAACGCUGAAGCGCGAAAGCGUGGGGAGCGAACAGG
rnacentral:rRNA from 1 species